rnacentral:piRNA from 1 species
UUGNGAAAAAUGCCUUACACCUGGAUCUCA